UACGAGGGGGGCAAGUGUUGUUCGGAAUCACUGGGCGUAAAGGGAGCGUAGGCGGGCUUCUAAGUUAGGUGUUUAAUCCCAGGGCCCAACCCUGGUCAGGCACCUAAAACUGGGAGUCUUGAAUAGUGGAGAGGACGAUGGAAUUGGGGGUGUAGCGGUGGAAUGCGUAGAGAUCCCCAAGAACACCAGUUGCGAAGGCGGUCGUCUGGACACAUAUUGACGCUGAGGCUCGAAAGCAUGGGGAGCAAACAGG
rnacentral:rRNA from 1 species